CGCAGUACGAGUGAAUCAUCGAAUCUUUGAACGCAUCUUGCACUUUUCAGGCCUCCUGGAAAGUAUACUUGUUUGAGUAUCAUUAACAUCUACUCCAAGGUAACUCUUGGGAAUUGAGACGUUAAGCAGCCUUGUGCAGCUUAUGUCUUUUAAGUGAUAUGUAGAGUGUUCUACCACACAUCAUUAUUUCAAUGAUGAUGGUGUGUGUCUAGAAGCCUAACAAUCAAAUGUGAGAUAAAUAUCGCACAGAGUAGUUGCUCAGGUUAAGCUUUGCUACGCCUAGAGGUCAAGUGCCUCAACCCCUAAUUGAUCUAUGAUCUCAAAUCAAGUAAGACUACCCGCUGAACUUAAGCAUAUCAAUAAGCGGAGG
rnacentral:rRNA from 1 species